rnacentral:rRNA from 1 species
AGCGAACGCUGGCGGCGUGGAUUAGGCAUGCAAGUCGAGCGCGAACGGAACUUCGGUUCCAAGUAGAGCGGCACAAGGGUGAGUAAUGCGUGGACAAUCUACCCUCGAGACUGGAAUAACGGCGGGAAACCGCCGCUAAUGCCGGAUGGCCCUGCGGAGAGACAUCUCUCUGUGGGUAAAGGUGGGGAUCUCUUCGGAGACCUGCUGCUCGGGGAGGAGUUCACGUCCUAUCAGCUUGUUGGUGAGGUAAUGGCUCACCAAGGCUUCGACGGGUAGGCGGGCUGAGAGGCCGAUCGCCCACACUGGGACUGAGACACUGCCCAG